rnacentral:tRNA from 1 species
AGCAGUGUGGCUUAGUGGAAGAGCACCAGCCUGUGAGUCAGAGGACCUGGGUUCUAAUCCCAGCUCCAUUU